CCCAUGUGUAGGAAUUGAGAAUUUCUAAAGGCUUCAGUGUAUUGUCAGAUCAGCUAACAACGUUCAAAACCCCCUUUCCGAUGACAAGAUUACAAUCAAGGCCACUUCAACCAGCAAUCUGUCUGCCGUGCAGAGCAGUCAUCCUCACUUUUGUGGGCGACCUGGUGAAGUCAGAGGGGAGGAUUAGAACGGCUGGGAAACUGACUGCCACCACCAAACCCAUCCACACUGGCUCGCAGGACAAAUGGAAAAAAUACAGACAUGCUGAGGAUGAGAGAUCUGUGAUUGGGGCACCACAGGGUGUGACAGCUCCUGGCAGAGGAUAUGCACACUUCCAGACAGCAAUGCAUUGAGGCUCCGCACAGACACUGGUGCAAGAAUCCAACCAAACACCAACAUCUUUACAGGCCGGGCCAGGCCAGGCUUUGCAAUGAUUAAAACCAACCUAACCUCCAGACAGAACACGUGACCAAGCAUAAUAAACUCAUAAACUGCCAUAAAACAACUUCAGAGUUUAGAUCUACAGCGGUCAGCAGCAUUUCACAAUGCAUGCAUUGAUUCAACACAGUUAUGUCAUUGCCUUCAUUAAAUCAAUCUGGAUCAAAGUACUUUUACAGCCCUGAUGUAAGUUCAACCCGUAUGAAAUUUUAACUUUUAUUACGACCUUUGACCUUUCA